rnacentral:rRNA from 1 species
AGUGAAGCGGCAACAGCUCAAAUUUGAAAUCUGGCCCUCGGGUCCGAGUUGUAAUUUGUAGAGGAUGCUUUUGGUGCGGUGCCUUCCGAGUUCCCUGGAACGGGACGCCAUAGAGGGUGAGAGCCCCGUCUGGUUGGACACCAAGCCUCUGUAAAGCUCCUUCGACGAGUCGAGUAGUUUGGGAAUGCUGCUCUAAAUGGGAGGUAUAUGUCUUCUAAAGCUAAAUACCGGCCAGAGACCGAUAGCGCACAAGUAGAGUGAUCGAAAGAUGAAAAGCACUUUGAAAAGAGGGUUAAAUAGUACGUGAAAUUGUUGAAAGGGAAGCGCUUAUGACCAGACUUGAGCCCGGUUAAUCAUCCAGCCUUCUGGCUGGUGCACUUGGCCGGCUCAGGCCAGCAUCAGUUCGGCGCGGGGGAUAAAGGCUUCGGGAAUGUGGCUCCUCCGGGAGUGUUAUAGCCCGUUGCGCAAUACCCUGCGCUGGACUGAGGUUCGCGCAUCUGCAAGGAUGCUGGCGUAAUGGUCAUCAGCGACCCGUCUUGAAACACGGACCAAGGAGUCGUCUUCGUAUGCGAGUGUUCGGGUGUCAAACCCCUACGCGUAAUGAAAGUGAACGCAGGUGAGAGCUUCGGCGCAUCAUCGACCGAUCCUGAUGUUCUCGGAUGGAUUUGAGUAAGAGCAUACGGGGCCGGACCCGAAAGAAGGUGAACUAUGCCUGUAUAGGGUGAAGCCAGAGGAAACUCUGGUGGAGGCUCGCAGCGGUUCUGACGUGCAAAUCGAUCGUCAAAUAUGGGCAUGGGGGCGAAAGACUAAUCGAACCUUCUAGUAG